UGGCUCAGUUGGUAGAGCAUGGUACUUGCAAUGACAGUAUUGUGGGUUCAAUUCCCAU
rnacentral:tRNA from 1 species